GGUAGACGAAAUUUGAGCAAGGGUUGCUUUCCAGAAAGACAUCAGUGAUUGUAACAUUCUCUGUUUCACGGAAACAUGGCUCUCUUGGGAUAUGUUGUCGGAAUCGGUUCAGCCACUGGGCUUCUCCAUGCAUCACGCCGACAGAGAUAAACACCUCUCUGGGAAAAGGAAGGGCGGGGGUGUAUGCUUUAUGAUUAACGACUCAUGGUGUAAUCAUAACAACAUACAGGAUCUCAAGUCCUUCUGCUCACCUGAUCUAGAAUUCCUUACAAUCAAGUACCGGCCAUUUUACCUACCAAGAGUAUUCUCGUCAGUUAUAGUUACAGCUGUGUACAUUCCCCCUCAAGCAGACACCAAGACGGCCAUCAAGGAACUUCACAGGACUAUACGCAAACUGGAAACCAUACAUCCUGAGGCUGUAUUUAUUGUAGCUGGGGAUUUUAUCAAAGCAAAUUUGAGAACAAGUCUACCUAAAUUCUACCAGCAUAUUUAUUGCGCUACGCACAUGCGCAAUACCCUCGACCACUGCUACUCUAACAUCCACGAUGCAUACAAAGUCCUCCCCCGCCCCCCCCUUCUGCAAAUCCGACCACGACGCCAUCUUGCUCCUUCCGUCUUAUAGGCAGAAACUCAAACAGGAUGUACCAGUGACGAGAACCAUUCAACGCUGGUCAAACCAAUCGGAAGCCAGGCUUCAAGAUUGUUUUGAUCACGCAGACUGGAAUAUGUUCCGGUCAGCCUCAGAGAACGACAUCGACCUAUACACUGACUCGGUGAGUGCGUUUAUAAAGAAAUGCAUUGGAGAUGUACCCACUGUGACUAUUAAAACCUACCCUAACCAGAAACCGUGGAUGGAUGGCGGAAUUCGCGCAAAAUUGAAAGUGCAAUCCACCGCAUUUAACCAUGGAAAGAGGUCUGGGAAUAUUUCUGAAUAUUAACAGUGGUGCUAUUCCCGCCGCAAGGCAAUCAAACAAGCAAAAUGCCAGUACAGGGACAAUGUGGAGUAACAAUUCAACGGCUCAGACACGAGACGUAUGUGGCAGGGUCUACAGGAAAUCACGGACUACAAAAAGAAAUCCAGCCACGUCACGGACACCGAUGUCACGCUUGAUGACACACCGAUGUCACGCCGAUGACACAACAGUAGUGGGCUUGGUUACCAACAACAACGAGACAGCCUACAGGGAGGAGGUGAGGGCACUCAGAGUGUUGUGCCAGGAAAACAACUUCUCACUCAACGUCAACAAAACAAAGGAGAUGAUCGUGGACUUCAGGAAACAGCAGAGGGAGCACCCUCCUAUCCACAUCGAAGGGACAGCAGUGGAGAAGGUGAAAAGUUUUAAGUUCCUCGGCGUACACAUCACAGACAAAAUGAAAUGGUCCACUCACACAGACAGUGUGGUGAAGAAGGUGCAACAGUGCCUCUUCAACCUCAGGAGGCUCGAUAAAUUUGGUUUGUCACCAAAAACCCUGACAGACUUUUACAGAUGCACAAUCGAGCGCAUCCUGUCGGCCUGUAUCACAGCCUGGUACGGCAACUGCACUGCCCUCAACCACAAGGCUUUCCAGAGGGUGGUACGGUUUGUACAAUGCAUCACCGGGGGAAACUACCUGCCCUCCAUGACACCUACAGCACCUGAUGUCACAGGAAGGCCAAGAAUGAUCAACCACCCGAGCCACUGCCUGUUCACACCGCUACCAUCCAGAAGGCGAGGGUCGCUGUCCUGUUGGAAGGUGAACCUUUGCCCCAGUCUGAGGUCCUGAGUGCUCUGGAGCAGGUUUUCAACAAGGAUCUCUCUGUACUUCAUCUUUCCUUCGAUCUUCUUGACUAAUCUCCCAGUCCCUGCCGCUGAAAAACAUCCCCACAGCGUGAUGCUGCCACCA
rnacentral:lncRNA from 1 species